CACAGUAAGAGCUUGCUCUUAUGGGUGGCGAGUGGCGGACGGGUGAGGAAUACAUCGGAAUCUACUCUGUCGUGGGGGAUAACGUAGGGAAACUUACGCUAAUACCGCAUACGACCUACGGGUGAAAGCAGGGGAUCUUCGGACCUUGCGCGAUUGAAUGAGCCGAUGUCGGAUUAGCUAGUUGGCGGGGUAAAGGCCCACCAAGGCGACGAUCCGUAGCUGGUCUGAGAGGAUGAUCAGCCACACUGGAACUGCGACACGGUCCAGACUCCUACGGGAGGCAGCAGUGGGGAAUAUUGGACAAUGGGCGCAAGCCUGAUCCAGCCAUACCGCGUGGGUGAAGAAGGCCUUCGGGUUGUAAAGCCCUUUUGUUGGGAAAGAAAUCCAGCUGGCUAAUACCCGGUUGGGAUGACGGUACCCAAAGAAUAAGCACCGGCUAACUUCGUGCCAGCAGCCGCGGUAAUACGAAGGGUGCAAGCGUUACUCGGAAUUACUGGGCGUAAAGCGUGCGUAGGUGGUCGUUUAAGUCCGUUGUGAAAGCCCUGGGCUCAACCUGGGAACUGCAGUGGAUACUGGGCGACUAGAGUGUGGUAGAGGGUAGCGGAAUUCCUGGUGUAGCAGUGAAAUGCGUAGAGAUCAGGAGGAACAUCCAUGGCGAAGGCAGCUACCUGGACCAACACUGACACUGAGGCACGAAAGCGUGGGGAGCAAACAGGAUUAGAUACCCUGGUAGUCCACGCCCUAAACGAUGCGAACUGGAUGUUGGGUGCAAUUUGGCACGCAGUAUCGAAGCUAACGCGUUAAGUUCGCC
rnacentral:rRNA from 1 species